rnacentral:rRNA from 1 species
CGGCGGACGGGUGAGUAAUGCAUAGGAAUCUACCCAGUAGCGGGGGACAACCUGGUGAAAACCAGGCUAAUACCGCAUACGCCCUACGGGGGAAAGCAGGGGAUCUUCGGACCUUGCACUAUUGGAUGAGCCUAUGUCAGAUUAGCUUGUUGGUGGGGUAAUGGCCCACCAAGGCGACGAUCUGUAGCAGGUUUGAGAGGAUGAUCAGCCACACUGGGACUGAGACACGGCCCAG